AGCUUUUCCAACUAUAAAAUAGAUAUCCAACGAAACGCUGUCAAUGUUAAGUGGGGUGAGAACAAAUCAAGAGAAGAAAUUAUUGAUCUGAUAUCUACAUCAGACAAAAACUCUGAUAUCAAAUAUUAUCCAGACCAUUUGCCAGACCUUGGAAAUGACACCCGUGGAUAUGUAAAAGUUAAAGAUGGAAAUGAGGAGGCAACGGUUAUCCUGUGGUUCAACAAAGAUGUCCGUUCUCGUCAAAUUUCUGAAAAACCAAAAAAUCUACAUUACUUUUGCUGAAAAUUCCAACACUUACAAGAGUGACAACAACGCUAUAAUAGGGCAUAUCAGAGAAAUCAAGAAGU